ACGCUCGACACCUACGGGAGGCAGCAGUGGGGAAUAUUGCACAAUGGGCGAAAGCCUGAUGCAGCAACGCCGCGUGAGCGAAGAAGGCCUUCGGUCGUAAGCUCUGUCCUCAAGGAAGAUAAUGACGGUACUUGAGGAGGAAGCCCGGCUAACUACGUGCCGGCAGUCGCGGUAAUCUGAGCGGGCUGGCAAGGC
rnacentral:rRNA from 1 species